UCGGGAGCCACAGCAGCAAGGCAUUGUGAGGCACCUCAUGUUGCAGGGGAGAAAAAUGACUUUUUGAUAAGGAAGCCACGAGAGCGGUCACGCAACCUUCCCCAGCAGUACGUUUUGGUGUCCAGGACAGCCGGCAGAAAGAAAAGGAGCGUGCAGGUGAAAACAAGCCCCAGGGGAUUAUCCUGCCUCUGAGUAAAGACAGUGAACGUUGGGGGUAUAUAUAGAAGGCACAGAAGACACCCCUUCCUCCUGCACCUGGCGAGCGAAGGGACAGCGUGGGUCGCAGGCAGCCUCGGU